GACGAACGCUGGCGGAGUGCUUAACACAUGCAAGUCGAACGAAGUGGCGAACGGGUGAGUAACGCGUCAUCAACCUGCCCUUCAGAGGGGGACAACAGUUGGAAACGACUGCUAAUACCGCAUACGGAAGGAGGGGAAUGCAUCUGAGUAGCUAGUUGGAGGGGUAACGGCCCACCAAGGCGAUGAUCAGUAGCCGGUCUGAGAGGAUGAAAGGCCACAGUGGGACUGAGACACGGCCCAGACUCCUACGGGAGGCAGCAGUGGGGAAUCUUCCGGAAUUGACGAAAGUCUGACGGAGCAACGCCGCGUGAGUGAUGACGGCCUUCGGGGUGUAAAGCUCUGUUAAUCGGGACGCGGUACCGGAAUAGAAAGCCACGGCUAACUACGUGCCAGCAGCCGCGGUAAUUC
rnacentral:rRNA from 1 species